rnacentral:lncRNA from 1 species
GUCCAACAUCUAAAAGACAUUAUUUUAUAUGUUUUGUCCAAUUUGCUAGUUGUUUAAGGUGGGAGUAUCAAUCAUGUUCCUCUUACUCCAUAUUUUCCCAAAGUGGAAGUCAACAUACCAUGUAUUGGGUUGUAUAAGAGAAUCUCCUUAUUCUUAGGAUAUUCAUGAUGAAAUGUUUGGGUUAAAGUAUUAUUAUGUCCCUAAAUUACUUUCUAAUAUUUCAGAAAAAAGAAAGUAAAUAUUAGAAAGUAUUAAUAAUUAUUGAAUGUUGAAGGAAUGUAUAUAUGUCCAUGGUGCUAUUUUCUCAGCUUUUCUGUAUGUUUGAAAUUUUUCAAGAUAAAAAGUUUUAAAAAAAAGACUAGGGAUAAAUAAAAUGUUAUAGCUAAAUAUGGAGAGUUGAAUUAUGAGUAUAUAAUUUAUUGUUUUUCCUGUUUUAAAUUCUAAAAAUGAAUUCUAAUUUAAAAUAUAAUAUUUAUAAUAGAAUCUAAAACUAUAAGGGAUCUAAAAAUAUAGUACACUGAAGGGACAAAAAGAAAUAAAAAUUUCCAGGAAUGGUUAAAAAUGAAGGUCAAUAUAAAAGACAUUUUUAAAAUUUAAAGAGAUAUAAAUAAUAUUCUCUUUAAAGAGCUCCUAUAAAUUAACAUGAAAUGGCAAAUACUCCAAUAAAACAAAAUAGAUAAAGGACCAAAAAGACAAAUGGAAAAGGAAACCCAAACAGCUGAUAAAUAGAGUAUGUUUUCAAAUGGUCAGUUUCAUGAGCCAGUAGGCACACGCACCAUUUGUUCCUAGAUAUAUCUUUCCAAACACAUCAAGUAAGGUUCACGACAUUAGCCUCUUUCUCACUCCCAGGCCUCUUUCUCUUUCUCUUUUUCCAGUUAGUGGCAGCUUGAAGCCAUUAUCUUGUGAGAAGACUCGAUUUUUUGCUUCAGGGUUCAGUCUUGAUGGGCCUUUGGCAUUCAACUUUUUUCUCAAUGUCUCUUAUUCUUUAGCGUUUAGGAGCAGGUGGCUUCUCCAACCCUGCCACUCUAGUCCUCUCAGACCCGGACAAGAGAGGUGGCUCCCUGAAUCCCACACUUUAGAGGGUUCUUCUGUCACUCAAGAUCUGGUACUCAGCACUAGCACAGCACAACCCAUAACCUCAAACAUCUGCUCACAUAACUCACACCAUUCAGACCUCAGAGAAACACCGCUCUACAUCUUUCAUAUGCCACCAAAAAAGUGACUGCAUCAAAGAGUUGUGAAGUUUUUUGUGGGAUGUGUCAUUGCCAGUGUCAGAGAUGAACACUAGUUUAUAGUUCAGGGAAGAUCUGAGUGGUGGAAGUACUUAGGUAAGAAAAAAGAAA